UCUUUGAAGGUGGAGGAAGGGGCUACAGGCCAAGGGAGGUUCCACUCCCAUCUCCUUAUGCGUGUUCAAGGGGAGUGAGUGCCGGGACCUGGGAAUACGACAGAUGGACUUGGAUUCUGGUGUUAACUCAACGGCGACUACCAGCGGCAGCCCUGGGCCUGCCCUCAGCCUCAGUGUCCCCAGGAGGCUGCAGACCUUGACAUUUUGUGUCAGGGUGACUAAGUGAGACAGACUACUCGGUGCCCAACGUCAGGCGGAAGCCAUCUCUAUGCGGCAUGCUGAGCCACUGACAACGUAAGGCCAGGCCCUGAAUGUCUGUCUGAGCCAUGGACAAACUGGACUUUUCUCACAUCUACACAAGAAAAGAGAAAACAACUCCACUACAAGGCCAGUAUGUGGGACUGGGAAAACGACUUGAGUCUGGAAAAGUCUGCUUGGUUUUGAUGCUGGUGCCUGGCUUUUUCUCAAGCAUAUGGGGAGAUAGGAAGGGCAUUCGGGAGGAAACUUCCAAGUGCUUUUCAAAGACUAAGAAGUUGGAAUCACUCUAUUUUUCUGACUCUUGGUUUGCUCUUUCCUGGAGAUGGGAGCAGCCUUGGCUUCACCUCUGUCAGCUAGACAGAGCACACUGGCAAAGGCUCUUUGAGGCAGCAGAGGCAGACUUAAAAAAAAAAGUACUGCAAAGCAAGCCCAUAGAAGCUGUAAUUGGAGUUUAAAAGAUGCAGCCACACCGAUCAUGGCUUAAAAUAAAAA